CCUUCUAUCAAGUACGUUCGCAUCCUGCGAGACGAAUACAUCAUCCCAGUUAUUCACCUUUUUCAUUGCAUCUACUACUAUUACCGGAUGAGGAAGAGAGUUAAAGGUGUCUGGCUUCAUUAAUUGCUUGAUAAUUUUUUCAUACCAAAAAAA